CCUACGGGAGGCAGCAGUGGGGAAUAUUGCACAAUGGGCGCAAGCCUGAUGCAGCCAUGCCGCGUGUAUGAAGAAGGCCUUCAGGUUGUAAAGUACUUUCAGCGGGGAGGAAGGCGAUAAGGUUAAUAACCUUGUCGAUUGACGUUACCCGCAGAAGAAGCACCGGCUAACUACGUGCCAGCAGCCGCGGUAAU
rnacentral:rRNA from 1 species